GACGAACGCUGGCGGCGUGCUUAACACAUGCAAGUCGAACGGAAAGGCCCUGCUUUUGUGGGGUGCUCGAGUGGCGAACGGGUGAGUAACACGUGAGUAACCUGCCCUUGACUUUUGGAUAACUUCAGGAAACUGGGGCUAAUACCGGAUAGGAGCUCCUGCUGCAUGGUGGGGGUUGGAAAGUUUCGGCGGUUGGGGAUGGACUCGCGGCUUAUCAGCUUGUUGGUGGGGUAGUGGCUUACCAAGGCUUUGACGGGUAGCCGGCCUGAGAGGGUGACCGGCCACAUUGGGACUGAGAUACGGCCCAGACUCCUACGGGAGGCAGCAGUGGGGAAUAUUGCACAAUGGGCGGAAGCCUGAUGCAGCAACGCCGCGUGCGGGAUGACGGCCUUCGGGUUGUAAACCGCUUUCGCCUGUGACGAAGCGUGAGUGACGGUAAUGGGUAAAGAAGCACCGGCUAACUACGCG
rnacentral:rRNA from 1 species